UUGGUUCUAUAAGCCCACUCACUGAACGAGGGCGGCGGCGCUGCUGGCGACGAAGUCUCUCGCUCUGAAGAAACUCAAGCGGAUUGGCAGAUGCUGGUUUGUGUUCUGGGCGCAAGUUUGGAACG
rnacentral:sRNA from 1 species